UCAUGGCCGCCCCUCAGCGCCUCCGGCCCCGCGGGCUCUGCCCCGCCGCUCGGUGUUCGUAGCUCUGCUCCUUUGCGGGGCACGCGCCGAAAUGCAGAGAUCUGCUGUGAACUCUCGCUGCCCGUAAAUUUGAUAAGGUAGAAGAUGAGUAAACAGAAGGGUGACCCCGCGAGCGCUGUCAGAGUAGGAAUUCCCAAUUACAUAAAGCUCUUCUAAGCUACUGGAUUAAUGCAAACACUGACAGGGUGAACAGGGGACAGAUCCUGAUGGAUCAAAACAAAUUCAGCAUGAAGAACAAGAAGAUCCACAAGCAGAAAAAUGCUGAUUUGUUUUGGACCGAGGCCUCAGUCAUGUCCUCAGAAAGUUUUGAUGCAUUUCCAGAGAACUUCAGCACUAAUUAACUUUUAGACCUUACAAAUUAAUCUGCAAUAAGUAUAUUGGACAAGAAGCUGCAUUAUGAACCAGUAGGCACCAUCUUCUCUGGAUAAAUUCAAAUUUGCAGGACAUGCCUGUGAAAGAUAAAGAAGUUUUAUCUGAGAAUUUAUUCUUGUCUGACACUCUCCAAGACUGCCUCAGAAUUAGUUUUUUAGAGCCUAAGAACUCCCAGCUUUUUCUUUUUCUUUUUUCUUUCUUUUUUUUUUUUUUUUUUUUGCUAAUACUUUCCUU